rnacentral:lncRNA from 1 species
AAAAAAUGAAAAUAAUGAAAACAAAAUUGUUCUCUGUUCUCUGCAACAUUUUAUACCUAAUUGCUGAGAAGAAAAAUGAAUCUUCUGUGCCCAGAAAUACAUACAUAUAUAUUUCUACAGAAGUAUUAAAAAGUACUGAGGAAAUAAUACUCAGUCUUUUGAUUAACUCACAUUAUUCAAGGAACAGAAUGAAAAGAUUGUGAGUGGAAUAUUAGCCCAAGAUAAUGGACUCCUAGUGACACUGCUACAUAAUUGAGGUAGAGCAGAUAAUACUAUGAAAAAUAGAUUGAGCUAGAGGGUUUAUUUUCAGAGCUGGAUACAUUAAUCCUUUGACUGCUAUACUGUGUCAUUACUUAGCAGGUCAACGCUCAAGGUACCAAAUAUUUUCUGAAUGCACUGACAGCAGUUCCCCUCAGAAUAAGUGGAAAGAGAAGAUGCUUAGCAUCUCCAAAAGUUAUUCAGCAUUUUACAACUGUUUUCAGUUGUGCCACCUGGCAGAUAAUAGAAACGUAAGGUAUGUAUUUAUUUUAUUUUAAAUAUGAUAACAUGGUAGGAAAGCUGCUCAUUGUGGUUUUAUACUACCAAUGACAUGCUUAACACUGCACUGAGGGGGCACAUUUUGAAAAAAAAAAAUCCAAAAUAAUGUUCUUCCUGGCAUAAUAAUUGGAGACCAUCUCACUUGUAGAACAAUGGGUUUUAUUCAGAGAACAUUCUACUUCCAUUGUUAUUAUUUUUUUUCACUGACUAAAUUAUUUAAAGACACACUUAAUGAUUGUUACAGUGCUUUUAUGCUAUUCAUCACUGAACUGUUUCCAACAUUCAGUACAAUUUAUAGUUUCUACUUGAAGGAAUAGUGCUCCUUGAAGGAAAGCUGCUUAUAAAAAAAAUUAAAAUCCAACAUCAUGAACUUCAUUAGCUCCCUCCCAGCUAGGCCUCCCUCCAACUAUCCCCCAAAAUGUCUUGGUUUUGCCUUUCAGAUUAUAUUGUACUUUUUUUGUUUGUUUUGGAAUGAUCUUUGAAUUCUCUUUCCUACCUCAGCCCAUGAGUGUUUCCCAACUUUAAAACAAUUAUGCUUCCCACAGUUUCCCUUAUAGCAGCUUUCUUCUUUUAGCCCCACACUGGUACCCCAGUCUUACCAUAAAACAUGUCAUCAGCCUAAGAUUAUUUCAGUCUUACAUUUCCAGGUAUUCUUGAAAGCCAUCA